AGCAGAGAUGCUUUAGUGCCUUCGGGAACUCUGAGACAGGUGCUGCAUGGCUGUCGUCAGCUCGUGUUGUGAAAUGUUGGGUUAAGUCCCGCAACGAGCGCAACCCUUAUCCUUUGUUGCCAGCACGUAAUGGUGGGAACUCAAAGGAGACUGCCGGUGAUAAACCGGAGGAAGGUGGGGAUGACGUCAAGUCAUCAUGGCCCUUACGAGUAGGGCUACACACGUGCUACAAUGGCGCAUACAAAGAGAAGCGACCUCGCGAGAGCAAGCGGACCUCAUAAAGUGCGUCGUAGUCCGGAUUGGAGUCUGCAACUCGACUCCAUGAAGUCGGAAUCGCUAGUAAUCGUAAAUCAGAAUGUUACGGUGAAUACGUUCCCGGGCCUUGUACACACCGCCCGUCACACCAUGGGAGUGGGUUGCAAAAGAAGUAGAUAGCUUAACCUUCGGGGAGGGCGUUUACCACUUUGUGAUUCAUGACUGGGGUGAAGUCGUAACAAGGUAGGCGUAGUGCU
rnacentral:rRNA from 1 species